rnacentral:rRNA from 1 species
CCAAAGGUCCACGUGCACCGUGUCCACGGAAGAAACCACCCAUCAUCGUCUUCUCCAUAGAUAAGCUUUUUCCACUCACUCUAUCUUCCUCGCCGUUUCUCCCCAACCCAACCCCCGUCCGGCGCGCCCGCCCGCCCUAGAAAAAAUGGAGACCUCCUUCCUCCCUACCGCGCGGCCCCUCCCCGCGUUCCAAACCCUAGCCGCGGCCCCGCGCUGCCCCCGCCCUCUGCGCCGCUCCACCAUCCGCGCCGCCAUCUCCCGCGGGCGCAAGGAGGACACGGUCGCCGUGGUCCGCGAGCAGCUGGAGGGGUGCUACCUCCUGGCCGGCAUCCGCUACGAGGGCCUGACGGUGAAGCAGUUCCAGGGCAUCCGCGACGCGCUGCCGGAGUCGUGCCACCUCCUGGUGGCGAAGAACACGCUGGUGGGGAAGGCCAUCGAGGGCACCCCCUGGGAGGCGCUCAAGCCGUGCAUGAAGGGCAUGAACGCCUGGCUCUUCGUCCACACGGAGGAGGUCCCCGUCGCGCUCAAGCCCUACCGCGCCUUCCAGAAGGAGGAGCGCGUCGAGGAGACCAACGACUUCAUCGGGGCGGUGUUCGAGGGCAAGUACUACGCGCCCGCCGAGUUCAAGUCGCUCGAGACCAUGCCCAGCCGCGCCGAGGUCUACUCCAAGCUGCUCGGCGCCCUCAAUGGGCCGGCCACCUCCCUCGUCACCACGCUGCAGGCGCCCGCCAGGGACGUCGUCGCCGUGCUCUCGGCCUACGUGCGCAAGCUCGAGGAGGAGUCCGGCGCCGGCGCCGGCACCGCCUAGUGGCAGUUGCGAUAUGGUUGUGCCUCCUAUCCUCACAUCUCACUCCUUGUUUGUACAAUUCCUUGUACCUUUACUGUCUCCCAUUUGAAUUGAAUCACAAGUUUUCCCCUUCACAAUGUGCGGCCUGUAAUUGGGCAGUUUCUCUUGCCUGCUGGUGUCCAAACUGGGAUGAAAUUGGAAAAGGAUGGUUCGAGAAUCGGGCAAUGUAUAUCAUGUUGAUGAAUAAUUUGGUUUGUGUAAGAGCAAGUUUAAUAGGGUAAGGACCCAUGACAAACAAUGGGAACUACUGAUGGCUAUUUUUAUGUCAGUUUAUAUCGUCAAAUUUCAUUUUUCAGGCGACGGUGAGGCUUCGUCGCAAGGCUUUGUCGCAUUCUUCACUUAACCGUGUGCUAUGGUUCUGAAGUUAGACAAAAUGUUUGUGUUUGUGCAUCAUAACCUGACCGUGGCUUCGCUGCC